rnacentral:lncRNA from 1 species
AGACACUUGAAGUUCCUAUUCUAUCUUCUUAAGUUUGUCAGUUUCGUGAUUCUACUGCUUAACAAACUCUUCUUUUUCUUUGAUCAAGUUGAAGUGGUUCCUGGCCAAGGAAUUUGCAUACAACUUUAAUUCUGCAGGAGUUGGGUCAUUCAUGAGGACUCCCAUGUCAAGGUCUGCUUGAACCCACGACUUCUCCGCUGCUGAAUGUCCACCUUGCGGGUUUACGAUUGUAUCCGCAGCCGUAGGAGUCGGGGCGACGGGGUUUGUCAUGAAUAUUUGGGU